rnacentral:rRNA from 1 species
UACGUAGGGGGCAAGCGUUGUCCGGAAUCAUUGGGCGUAAAGAGCGUGUAGGCGGCCAGAAAAGUCCGCUGUGAAAACUCGAGGCUCAACUUCGAGCUGUCGGUGGAAACUUUCUGGCUAGAGUCCGGAAGAGGAGAAUGGAAUUCCGUGGUGUAGCGGUGAAAUGCGCAGAUAUCAGGAAGAACACCCGUGGCGAAGGCGGUUCUCUGGGACGGUACUGACGCUGAGACGCGAAAGCGUGGGGGAGCGAACCGG